rnacentral:rRNA from 1 species
GACGAACGCUGGCGGCGUGCUUAACACAUGCAAGUCGAACGGAAAGGCCCUGAGUUUGUGGGGUGCUCGUGUGGCGAACGGGGGAGUGAAACAUGUGUAACCCCCCCUUAUCUGUGUGAUAACAUCAGGAAAAUGGGGCUAAUACCGGGUAGAAGCUCUUGAUGCACGGUGGUCGAUGGAAAGUUUCGGCGGUUGGGGAUGGUCUAGCGGCUUAUGCGCUUCAUUGUGGGGUAGUUGAGUUCCAGGGCUGUGAAGGGUAGGCGGCCUGAGAGGGUGAACGGGCACAUUGGGACUGCGAUACGGCCCAGACGCCUACGGGAGGCAGCAGUGGGGAAUAUUGCACAAUGGGCGGAAGUCUGAGGCAGCAACGCCGCGUGCGGAAUGCCGGCCUUCGGGUUGUAAACCGCUUUCGCCUGUGACGAAGCGUGAGUGACGGUAAUGGGUAAAGAAGCACCGGCUAACUACGUG